rnacentral:rRNA from 1 species
UACAGAGGGUGCGAGCGUUGUCCGGAAUCACUGGGCGUAAAGGGCGCGUAGGCGGUCUGGUAAGCAUGUGGUGAAAGCUCGGGGCUCAACCCCGAGUCGGCCGUGCGAACUGCGAGACUGGAGCAGAUCAGAGGCAGGCGGAAUUCCGGGUGUAGCGGUGGAAUGCGUAGAGAUCCGGAAGAACACCGGUGGCGAAGGCGGCCUGCUGGGAUCUUGCUGACGCUGAGGCGCGACAGCGGUGGGGAACAAACAGG